GCUAGAAUUGUCCCCUUGGAAAGGGUGACCAAGUACCUAGAUGUGCCCUAGACAGAGGAGUUUCCUGAGACCUAGCACUUUCCAUUUUAAACGGGGACGGUGGUGGGCAAACCUGGAUGGUUGGUCACCAUCCCUCCUGGGAAUCCUCCCCCCACAACUACCUUCACUCUGAGAAGGAAAGUGUAAGUGCACUAUAUCCUGGCCACAGUGGAGAAUGCCAGCUCCCAGAUGGAGCUUAAUUGUCUCUUCUCCCUUGAAUGUGGCUGCACUGAGUGACUCACUGCCAAAGAAUAGAGUAUGGAAAGGGGAAAAAUAGUAACUUUACAGGAGACAAAUCUGACAAACAAACACCUGCUUUAAUCAAGUGACCAGGGUAUCAAGUCACCAGCUGAUAUCACGUGAUGAAAGAGGCACUUCACCUAUGUGGUAUUCUCCCUCAAAGCAACCCACCCCAGUCUGGUCAUGGGAAGAAGUCCAAACUGAGGGAUGUUCUACAAAAUACCUGACUAAUACUCUUCAAAACUGUCAAGGUGAUUUAAAAAAGAAGACCAAAAAACAAAAACAAAAACAAAAAACAAAAAACAACAACAACAAGGAAAGACUGAGAAACUGUCACAAGAGAGGCUCAGGAGAUGUGACUAAAUACAAUGUGCUAUACUGGAUUGGGUCCAGAAAGAGAAAAAAGAUAUUAGUGGGAAAAUUGUUGAAAUUUGAAUGAAGAAUCUGGAGUUUCCAUAAUAGUAAUGUAUGAAUGUUCGUUUCUUAGUUUUGAUGUACUAUGGGUACGUAUGAUGCUAAUGUUAGAGGAAAUCGGGCGAAGGGUAUAUGAGAACUCCCUGUGCCAUCAUGACAACUUCUCUGUGAAUCUAAAAUUAUCCCCAAAUAAAAGGUUUACCUGA